rnacentral:rRNA from 1 species
GAUGAACGCUAGCUACAGGCUUAACACAUGCAAGUCGAGGGGAAACGACAUCGAAAGCUUGCUUUUGAUGGGCGUCGACCGGCGCACGGGUGAGUAACGCGUAUCCAACCUGCCCACCACUUGGGGAUAACCUUGCGAAAGUAAGACUAAUACCCAAUGACGUCUCUAGAAGACAUCUGAAGGAGAUUAAAGAUUUAUCGGUGAUGGAUGGGGAUGCGUCUGAUUAGCUUGUUGGCGGGGUAACGGCCCACCAAGGCGACGAUCAGUAGGGGUUCUGAGAGGAAGGUCCCCGACAUUGGAACUGAGACACGGUCCAAACUCCUACGGGAGGCAGCAGUGAGGAAUAUUGGUCAAUGGGCGAGAGCUUGAACCAGCCAAGUAGCGUGCAGGAUGACGGCCCUAUGGGUUGUAAACUGCUUUUAUAAGGGAAUAAAGUGAGUCUCGUGAGACUUUUUGCAUGUACCUUAUGAAUAAGGACCGGCUAAUUCCGUGCCAGCCGCCGCCGUAA